CCUUUGGAGAGCUAAACAAACUCAAGUAGCUUAAUUUAUUAGUAAAAGAGAGUUCGUAGAAGAAGGAA
rnacentral:ncRNA from 1 species